UUCUAUUUCUCUCUCUAGCACAUCCUUCUCUCUUCUUUCUUCCUUCUUCAUUCUUCCUCUUCUGUCUUCUAAUCUUCUUUGUUCUUCCUUUUUUUUCUUCUGUCUUCUACGACAUGACUUUAUGAUUUCAAAAACAAAUCUACAUUUGUUAUUAACAAUAUUGCUAACGAAACUCUAGCCGAAGACAAAAGAACGGCUCGAAGUCUUCCUACAGAUGUCAGUUUGCUUUCAUCGCAUUUGUGACCGGCAUCCACCGUUUGGGGUCUAAAUAAUCCACAUCUGUUGAUUCAAUGGUUAUUACGGAGAGGUUGUCCAAGGAAGAAAUUGGUUGUUUAAAAGAGUGUAGAUUUCAAAUUUGGAGUGGCAUGCCCUUUUGAUUGAUAACUCAAAUAACAGCAAAGGAGAAAAGGAGUCGGUGAACGGGCAUAUGGCAACUUAUUUCUUUGUUUCACAAGUUUUAACAAAUGCAGUAAUUUUGGUAUGUUAGUAUUACUCUUCUGAAAUAUAUUUUUUUAAACCUUUUUCCCUUUGAUUUUUAGGUGUGAAUGAAUGCAGUUAGACAAUGGUGAUAUCAUAUGCUUUCAUAAAGCUUCUGCAGUGGGUAACGGGUAA